GGGCAGGGAGUUCCUGGCAAAGAUGGUAGGCUGAGGAACUGAGCACUGACACCUAACUCCACUCCCACCACCCUCCACCCACAGAAUGGCGAAACGGGAUGGAUACAGCUCUGAGACACUGCCCCUUUCAUAAGAUGCAGGGAGGACUCCACUUUCUACCCCCACUUCUAAAAAUAAGUAAACACACACAUUGAGGCUGGAGCAAGGAGGUGGUGUCAGGCCAAAGAAACAAGCUCAUGAGCAGCUGGGAGAGACAGGGCUCCUGAGGGCUGCUGUGAGCUUGGCUAGCAGCAGAGUGAAAAGGUGAACCCAGCACCCCACAUGGAGAGGGACCCUCGAGGCCAGCAAUGCCCUGUGAUAUAGGAAAGGACAGGAGCAAUUCUCUCCUCAGGAGCUUUCCCAGUCCCUAGUGUGAGCCCCAACAAUCAAAAUCAGGCAACGAGCACAACACAAAGAUUAAAUAAACAAGAAAACAAGUCGCUAUAAUUGAAAGCCAGAAAAAAAAAACCAACAGAUUCAGACACCCAAGAUCUCAGAUAAUUAACUUGUCAGAAAUGUAAUACAAAACAAAUAGAACAAAAAUGACCAACCAACAAGGGAAAUUAGAAACAAACAGAUACAUUUGGAAAGGAAAAAUUAUAAAAUGAGGAAGCCUGAGUGAGUUGGAGAGCUAAUUAGCAUAGCUGAACAAAGAAUUAGUGAACUGGAAGAUCUAGCUGAAGAUAUCAGGCAGAAUGCAGCACAGAGAGACAGGAAAUGGGAAAUUUCACAAAGAUAUGGAAGACAAGAUGGAAAGUUCUAAAAUGUUUUAAAUCAGAGACUCUAAAGGAGAUAAUAGGGAGAGUGGAGAAGAGAUAAUAUUUAAAGAGAAAAUAGUGCAAAUUUACAGCACUGGUUAAAAUUAGAAGCUGUCUCCAGAAACAGAAAGCAUAAUGUAUUCCAAAGAGGAGAAGUGAAAGCAGUCCACGCCCACACACAGUAUAUUGAAACUGGUGAACACUAAACACAAAGAACGAACCUUCAGGCUGGGCGCGGUGGCUCACGCCUGUAAUCCCAGCACUUUGGGAGGCCGAGGCAGGCGGAUCACGAGGUCAGGAGAUCGAGACCAUCCUGGCUAACACGACGAAACCCUGUCUCUACUAAAAAUACAAAAAAAAUUAGCUGGGCGCGGUGGCGGGCACCUGUAGUCCCAGCUACUUGGGAGGCUGAGGCAGGAGAAUGGCAUGAACCCCAGAGGCAGAGCUUGCAGUGAGCCAAGAUUGCGCCAUUGCAC
rnacentral:lncRNA from 10 species